rnacentral:rRNA from 1 species
CGGACGGCAGCGCAGUGGAGCUUGCUCCAUGGGUGGCGAGGGGCGGACGGGUGAGGAAUGCAUGGGAAUCUGCCCAGUCGUGGGGGAUAGCGGAGGGAAACUUACGCUAAUACCGCAUGCGCCCUUCGGGGGAAAGGCGGGGACCUUCGGGCCUGGCGCGAUUGGAUGAGCCCAUGUCGGAUUAGCUAGUUGGCGGGGUAAAGGCCCACCAAGGCGACGAUCCGUAGCUGGUCUGAGAGGAUGAUCAGCCACACUGGGACUGAGACACGGCCCAGACUCCUACGGGAGGCAGCAGUAGGGAAUAUUGGACAAUGGGGGCAACCCUGAUCCAGCCAUGCCGCGUGAGUGAAGAAGGCCUUCGGGUUGUAAAGCUCUUUUGUCCGGGAAGAAAAGCAUCUGGCUAAUACCUGGAUGUGUUGACGGUACCGGAAGAAUAAGCACCGGCUAACUUCGUGCCAGCAGCCGCGGUAAUACGAAGGGUGCAAGCGUUACUCGGAAUUACUGGGCGUAAAGCGUGCGUAGGUGGUCUGUUAAGUCUGAUGUGAAAGCCCUGGGCUCAACCUGGGAAUGGCAUUGGAAACUGGCGGGCUAGAGUGCGGUAGAGGGUAGUGGCAUUCCCGGUGUAGCAGUGAAAUGCGUAGAGAUCGGGGAG